rnacentral:rRNA from 1 species
GACGAACGCUGGCGGCGUGCUUAACACAUGCAAGUCGAACGGAAAGGCCCUGCUUUUGUGGGGUGCUCGAGUGGCGAACGGGUGAGUAACACGUGAGUAACCUGCCCUUGCCUUUGGGAUAACUUCAGGAAACUGGGGCUAAUACCGGAUAGGAGCUCCUGCUGCAUGGUGGGGGUUGGAAAGUUUCGGCGGUUGGGGAUGGACUCGCGGCUUAUCAGCUUGUUGGUGGGGUAGUGGCUUACCAAGGCUUUGACGGGUAGCCGGCCUGAGAGGGUGACCGGCCACAUUGGGACUGAGAUACGGCCCAGACUCCUACGGGAGGCAGCAGUGGGGAAUAUUGCACAAUGGGCGGAAGCCUGAUGCAGCAACGCCGCGUGCGGGAUGACUGCCUUCGGGUUGUAAACCGCUUUCGCCUGUGACGAAGCGUGAGUGACGGUAAUGGGUAAAGAAGCAACGGCUAACUACGUG